rnacentral:rRNA from 1 species
UUGCCUUAGUAACGGCGAGUGAAGCGGCAACAGCUCAAAUUUGAAAUCUGGCUCCUUUGGGGCCCGAGUUGUAAUUUGUAGAGGGUGCUUUGGAGUUGACUGUGGUCUAAGUUCCUUGGAACAGGACGUCACAGAGGGUGAGAAUCCCGUACGUGGCCGCCAGUCAACGCCUUGUAAAGCCCCUUCGACGAGUCGAGUUGUUUG